AAAAGUAACGAGUAAGGUGGGAUAUAAUAUUUGUAUAACCAAGCUAUUACCACUAUUUAUAUAUCGUUCGGUUUGAUGAUUCACUUCAGGUGAAGGGGGACUAAUCCCUCAGAGUUUCUUUUACAAGUCCUUCCAAAGGUUAAUAAAUUUAUUUGGAAAGGACUGCUUAUAUUAAAAGCUAAAACGUUGCUUACAAAUGCAAAAUAUUCUCCUUUUCUUAAGCAAAUUUUACUAAUUGACUGCCAUUCUCCAAGUUUUCCUGGACGAGUGGGGAGCGUGAAACCAAAACGAUAGUAUUGCAUCUUCUUCAAAUGUGAAGGCCAGUACUUUCUUGUGUGUAACAUUUCCUUGAAUAUACACA